rnacentral:lncRNA from 1 species
UAACUUAGAUACAAAUUUAGAAUGCCAUUUUAAGCUAUGCUUUAUAAUGACAUGUAUGAGUAAAUUGGAUGAAGAUUAUAGUGUUACCUUAGAUUAUUUUUUAUAAUCUUCGAGCUUAGUAAUUUAGAUAUAUGUUUAGAGUUUAUUUUUAAAUAUUUUCAUAAUGAUAGUGGUGAGUAACUUUUUAGAAUAUAUAAUAGACCAAUGGCUAUGAUUAUUAGAAUUUACAGGAUUGAUGUUUGAUAUUUUUUAUUUUUUGAGAAUUUUGAGAAUUUGUCUCUUUUUUAGCAUAUCUCGUGGGAACUAAUGCGGAUCUCCAAUGAAAAAAGAGACCACGUUGCUACAAAACUAUUACCAUGAGCUACCUCUCAUUUGUUAAAUAUUCGAACACAAUACUUAUAUAGAUAUUGUGGUAGAAUUUAGUUAGUAUUUACUCUAUAAUAUUUUCAUCCACAUUUAUAAAUGUUAAACUUUUCACUUUGCAUUGUAGGUAUGCGCUUGAAUUUGUUUAAUGGAUCCUAAAUUUGAGUUACAAUUUGAACAUAGAAAUCUGUAUUCUCAUCACUUCCUCUAUAUUUUUACAAAUGGGGACACACCGUAUAUACCUUAAUUAUUAUAUCAUAUACUAAUAGUGUAAGAAAUAGACAAUUUAGAAACAUAUAUUGCUGUAUAUUUUUAAUUAAGGCGAUUUGGAUUCAAAUGUAGGGUUACCUCAUGUUAUUUUUAAUAAUGAAAUAUGUGGGUAAUAUAGAUGCAAAUUCAAGGGGUCACUUUAAGUUUUUUAGGUAUCAAUGGUGGGCAAUUUUUUUUUCAAAUUUAGGAAGUUAUUUUAAAUAUUGUUUAUAAUGGCAUAAGUGAGUAAUUUUGAUGAAGAAUAGGGGUUACUUUAGUUAAUUUUAUAUAAUGGCAGGGUGGUAAUUUAGAUUUAGGGGUUACUUUAGGCUAUUUUUAUAAUGACAUAGGUGGUUAAUUUUUUAGAAAAUAUAAUAGAUCCAAUGUCUAUGAUGAUUUGAGUCUACAAAUUAAUGGCUAGAUGUUUUAUUUUUUUUUAGAAUUUAUAGGAUUUCUCUCUUUUCCUAAAGUGUCCAUCUAGGAAUCUUAGGUGGCGUCACCUGGAUGCUUCGAAAGGAGUGUAGUAACUGAACUGUGACGUGAUGAGUUCCGGAUAUUGUUGGGAAUUGAUUACUACUGUAGCAUUCAUGUAGAGCUCUCAAUUUUUCCUGAAAAUUCUUUGUUAAGAUCUGUACCAGCAAAAAAGUUGUCAUUCUUCACAGCAGAGGAUACUCGGAAAAUUGUCCGCUCUGUCUGCAGUGCUCUACGAAAAAAGCUGCCUACCGUAGCCAGCCCUUUCCUGUACUUACAGAUGUAGAACUGGUACAGUAUUUUUUCUGCAAAGUGUUAUUCUGCCCCUUUCUACCACAUCAGUUCCUUUGUUUUACCUUUUUUUUUUGAAAGACAGACUGUUUUACUUUUACCUAUUGUGUAACAUACUACCUCAUCACUCAUCAGUCAUCACGCACAGAAAACACAGGCACAGGCAGUACCGAGCAGUUUACACUCCCGCUUCGCUGCAAGCAAGAAAUACCUCCAGUUAUCCAUUCGAGACAAUAGCAUCACCGCGCACUCACCGCACCUGCAUGCUUCUCACAACUCGUUCCCAGAGGCCAGAAUCCCAGAUGCCUUGCCUUCAGAGUUCAUCGGUGGCACUCCAUCCAGUCUCCAGGUAGUUUUUUUCUCUGACCACAGUGGCCAGAUUACUACCCGGCCGUACCUUUUUCUUCUACAGUGCUAGUACUCAUUGCCCGCGUCACAGUCGUACCGUACGACAAGAUGCAUUGUCAAUCGCCUGCCCUCUGACAGCAACUUGCUGACUAAACUCUACUUCCCUCUGCGAUCCCUGCGAUCGAUCACGUUGCUUGAGUGAGGGCCUGGCUCCACGGAAUCUUGAGGCCUACGGAGGUUUGAUACUAAUUAAAAGUAUUAAAUAUACAUUAAUUACAAAAUUAAUUACCUAUAUGAAAGCUAAUUCGCGACACAAAUCUAUUAAGCCUAAUUAGUCCAUAAGUUGAUAAUGUGGUGCUUCAGUAAUCAUUUGCUAAUGAUGGAUUAAUUAGGCUUACUAG